rnacentral:rRNA from 1 species
AACGAACGCUGGCGGCAUGCCUAACACAUGCAAGUCGAACGAGACCUUCGGGUCUAGUGGCUCACGGGUGCGUAACGCGUGGGAACCUGCCCUUAGGUUCGGAAUAACUCCCCGAAAGGGGUGCUAAUACCGGAUAAUGUCUUCGGACCAAAGAUUUAUCGCCUUUGGAUGGGCCCGCGUUGGAUUAGCUAGUUGGUAGGGUAAAAGCCUACCAAGGCGACGAUCCAUAGCUGGUCUGAGAGGAUGAUCAGCCACACUGGGACUGAGACACGGCCCAGACUCCUACGAGAGGCAGCAGUGGGGAAUAUUGGACAAUGGGCGAAAGCCUGAUCCAGCAAUGCCGCGUGAGUGAUGAAGGCCUUAGGGUUGUAAAGCUCUUUUACCCGGGAUGAUAAUGACAGUACCGGGAGAAUAAGCUCCGGCUAACUCCGUG